rnacentral:tRNA from 1 species
GGGAUAUGGCUCAGUUGGUAGAGCGUCGCGUUCGCAACGCGAAGGCCGUGAGUUCGAAUCUCAUUAUCUCC